UUAUAAAUUAUAUAUACAAAUAUAUCUGGGGGUUUAUCUUAGGGGUCUAUCAGUAAAUUUCAUUGUUGCCAAUAUCAUCUUAGGACCCUGAGCAAUUUUCUCUCUCCGACAGCAUUCUCUCGUCGCCGCCUAUCCACCUCCUCAGAUCAUCGACGUUUUGCUACAUCCCGCCAUCAAACCUUCAUCUCAAGUCGUUUUACACCUGCUUUACCCCUUUGCUAGCACUGGAUGACGUCGAGGAUCGCCGGUCUUUGUGUUCUUGAAGAGAGAGAAAGAAAAAAAAAGUUUAUGCUUAUAUAAUCUAAACUUAUAUUAUAAAACUUUUUAUAUGUUUUUAUACUUAUUCAUUAUAAGAU
rnacentral:lncRNA from 1 species